AAACUAAAACCUGGAUUUGACCAUUGCCUUGCGGAGGGCCAAAAUCGCAGAAGAAAAGCUAAAAAUUUGACCAUUGCGGAGCAGAGGGCCGAAACUAAAACCUGGAUUUGACCAUUGCUUUCCAGAGGGCCAAAAUCGCAGAAGAAAGACUUAAAUUUGACCAUUGCGAAGCAGAGGGCCGAUAACAAAACUGAAACCUGGAUUUGACCAUUGUUUUGUAGAGGGCCAAUAUCGCAGAAGAAGAAAUUAAAAAUUGACCAUUGCGAAGCAGAGGGCCGAUAACAAAACUAAAAAAAAAAACUGGAUUUGACCAUUGCCUUGCAGAGGGCCAAUAUCGCAGAAGAAGAAAUUAAAAAUUGGCCAUUGCGAAGCAGAGAGCCGAUAACAAAACUAAAGCCUGGAUUCAACANUUUUGAAAAGNUAGUAGAAACUAAGCAAAACAUGANGAUUUUACGAACAAUUUUCUUCGCUUCCUUUGAAGAUGCAUGAUGUAAUGCCAUGAGGAUGUAUGGAUGUGUAAACACAUGAGACCUUUGUGUUGUUCUCUUCUUUUUGCCCUCACUUUCUCUUUCUUCAUUUUUUUUCUCUUUUUUUCUAAAAAUUCCGUGUUUGGAAUCUGUUGUCAAUAUUGUCGUCCAAACUGAUGUACAUUCAAAAUGNAUUUGUUGAAAAUAGUGCCAAAAAACAGUGGGUCCUUUGAUGAAAAGGAAAAGAGUGUAACCAUUAGUUCAAAUUCCCUUUACCGCUUUCAGCAAUCCAAACUGACUCGAAUCCGAGAAGGCGUGGGAAAUAGGUAUGAAAAGUAUAUGGUUGGAUGAUUAGCAUUUGAAUUUUCUCAUUUGGGGGGUUUUGUUAAUAUCUAAACAUGCAUGGCUCACAAGGAUCGCCCCAAUUUGUCNCACAUGGUAAAUGUGAUUUGGAGAGGCGGAAAGGUUUGGGCAGGAAGGAUUGCCCUAAUUUUGUUGCGCAUGGCAAAUAUGAUUUGGAGAGAUGGAAAGGUUUGGGUAGGAAGGAUUGCCCCAGUUUUGUGAUUCUCGUUUGACGGGGAGACUUCUCAUCUUUUUGUCCUUUCAAUGUUUUNNNNN
rnacentral:lncRNA from 1 species